AUGAAGAAGUUUAAAGUUCCAAUCUAUACAUGGCUAUAUAUUCCAAUGAUGCAAUGUUUGUAUAUGAAGAAGUUUAAAGUUCCAAUCUAUACAUGGCUAUAUAUUCCAAUGAUGCAAUGUCAAUUGCUUGAUUCAGGCAGAUCAUGGAGGAGGCCGUGUCGGGCUCACUGUGUUGCCAUCAUCGGGACGAGUGGAGGCUGCCGCUUGCGUAGAUGCUUCCAGGAGGAGCGCCAGAGCGCAUUGUCGCCAUCGAUAGGGGAACACCAGACGGGAAUCAAGCCAAGGGAAUCCCGUGAGUCUGGGUCCUGGCCGGAAGCGCCGGAUGUGUUGCUGCGGUGGUUGGUCUGUGGGUGUUGUACAAUUAUGGGCCCCGCUGACAGUGAGGACCUGACUGCUGCACAAAUCUUCUAUCCUUGCAUGCAAUGUACUCAUAUGUUUUUCCUGAAGGCGGACAUAUGUCAGUUGGGCAUGGAGCAAAAGAAGGUAUGGAUUACCGGCGAUGACUACGGGUUUCAACUAGUUGCCGGAGAGACGAAAGAGAAGGACAUCCGGAGCAGCGGAAGACGCGCCAGAGAGGCAAGAGAGGCCGCACUGCUGCUGCCCGACAGCGCUGCUGCCGCACGCGACGGAGGGGUGGGCCCGGCCGCACUGCUGCUCUGCAUGCCGUCGCGAGAAGCGUCGUCGCCCGGAAUCUGCAUGACACAAUUAUCCAUCCCACCCAUGCCUGCAACAUGGAUCACUCCGCCAUGGAGCAUGCCCUCGGUCGCCAUUGGAACUUCCUCCUUCAAAAUGCAAAGUGGGGAUCGGAUGAGCUCUUCCUCCUUGCGUAAUAGACCUCAUGCAAGGAUGCCUUUCGUGCUUGUCUGGGAUAUGUCACUUCGCUGUUGGGCAUCUGCGGUGCCCGCGGUGAGAGACGAAGGUGACUACGGCGGUGGCGAUGGAGAUCGUAGUGCAGCCGAUCCGAUCAUCCCCAAACUGGAGGAGGUGAGGGAGAGUGCAAUCCCAGUGGAUCUGCCUGAUAACGGCGCGACGAGCGAAGCCAUGGCCGCUGAAGAAGCGAUGAGGCCCGCCAUGAGUGCGGACGGGCAAAUCAGCGCGGAAGACAUGUUGGUUAAUCAGAGACGUGAGAGCUCGCCACAGGCAUCAGAAAUGUUGACUGGGAAGAUGAACCCUCAAGCACCAGGAUGUGUUAAAAGUCUACUGCUGAGCUUUGAUGCUCGUACAACGAAUGCAGUGGGGUACUGUGUGGUGGUUGGAACACUAUUUGGAAAUAAGAAUGAGCAGACUGCUGUUGUUUUACGUGAUGUUAUUUGUGUGAGCUUUGAUGUCCGUAUUACGAAUGCACAGUUUGCAAAGGACAUUAUAAGCAAUCAACGAAUCAGAUCUUCUGGGCGGCAAGUAUAUCUUCCGUCCUGGCUUCCAGACAAAUCCUUGGACAACUUCCUUGUACAUGAGGUUCCAAGUCGUCAGACCUUCAUGUUGUCCGGCGCAGACUACAUUCACACAAUCUCCAUCCAGAGACAGUUCAGUGGCCAACCAACAAGGAUGGUUGGGGGAAAAAGAACCCAGCUCUUACUGACACCAUUUUCUCCUGUAACAACACAAGAGCAUGCAUUCUGCACAUCGCUUGUAACUUCGAUUGAGAAAAGCUCAAGCUCCCCCCUGAGAAGAACCUCCUCAAUCAUGAAGCUUGGGACUUGGGAGCUCUCCCUGUUUCCCUUCCAUCGAUACCACCUCAUAGGCUAUCGACUUGCGAAUCCAGCUUCAUGGUUCAGCACGGCUGCAUCCUGCUCAGUUGAUCUGAUGAACCAAACAUGCCGACCUGUGGUGCAAGGGUCGAACCUGGAGCUGGGGCUAGAUCCGCCGACGAAGAUCCAGCGGACAAACCUGCCGCCGCAAUCAGGGCAGGGAAUGAGAGGGAGGGGAUCGGUGGCGGCAGAUGAGAAAGACGGGGCAGCCAUGAGGCUGACGGCAUUGGUACAUAAUAGAAGCCGAGCCGUGGCCCAUGUCGUCAAUCUCGUCUGUGCGGGCGGAGGGAAAAAAGAAAUAUACGAGGCCAUAUACAGGGCGCUGUACAACGAUCAGUGCGAAUCUAAAGGAGAACCAUCGAUGGAGAUAAAGAGCACAUAUAUGCUCGGGCACAGAUAUGCACUUUCCGACUACACAGAGCUACUGCCGGCUACUGUUCCGCUCGAGGACCUACGAAGCAGCCGUUCUGUAUUACAUACCCACCUGCUAAUGAAGAUUGUAAGCCCCCACAGCCCUCCUCGCAUCUCGAGACUCUCUAGAAAGACGGACGGCCAAGAUAGCAGGGCUCCGAAGCAUAUGCAUGAAAAAUCCGCGUCCCAUCGAUUCUCAAUAGCAGUAUGA
rnacentral:rRNA from 1 species